UUUCUGUGGACACUAGGACUUCAAGAUGGCGUUCAUCGUGCCAUUGAAGGAGAAGACGCUCAUGGAGGUUAAACUUGGAGAGCUGCCGAGCUGGAUAUUGAUGCGGGAUUUCACUCCCAAUGGUAUUGCAGGAGCCUUUCAGAGAGGAUAUGACCGGUAUUACAACAAGUACAUCAACGUUCGGAAAGGCAGCAUCUCAGGGAUUAACAUGGUGCUGGCAGCCUACGUGGUUUUCAGCUACGGCAUUUCUUACAAGGAACUCAAACAUGAACGGCGACGUAAGUACCACUAAAGAGGGGUCACUGUGGAGAACACUGCAUGGCCGAGCAAAACCGCCUGGCCCGCUCCGAUCUAGGAAGAAUUCAACUGGCUUAACCUUCACACCCCAACCAAGAACUAGUGUCCAAUAAAAGGUGACGGACUGGUUAAAAAAAAAAUAAAAGACAGUGGGGGAAGAGGGUUGGACAGUGGGGAGGGGUUUGUCUGUGUCCUGUCUUUGGAACGUGACUUGGGAGUAAUUAGAAAGAUGCCUUCGGUGGCUGAGAGAAGCAUAUGACAGGUCUUAAGACAGCCACCGGAGGGACAGACAGUUAGAGAUAAUAAGUCAGUAAUGUCAAGUUACAAAUUCUGAACUAAUCCAAGAACAGAUGGGAGAAAAGGCUGAAGGAGGAGAGAGCAAAAGACAGAUGGGACGGGAGAUAACUGGCAAAGGGCAGGUUUUUACCCAAGCCAUAGCAGGAGUGAGAGUAAAAGACAGAUUCUCAGAGUGGAGAAGACAGAAGUGCUGAGCAUCUGGGAGAAAUAUGUAAGUAUAAACCUGGAGGAAGGUUUCAGGAAGAGGGUGAGAAAGGACACACCACACAAACACUUAACAGGAGGACUGUUUAGAGGGGUGGGGUCUGAUUCUACUCAAGAGAUGGCUCAGAGGUUAAGAACUGCACCCGAAGAGGACCAGAGUUUGGUUCUCAGCACCCAGACCAGGAGGUGUAGAGAGAGUUGCCUGUAACUUCAUCUCUAGGGGAUCACACACACACACACACACACACGCACACACACACACACACACACACACACACAAACACACACACGCACACGCAUUCCCUUGAUGAUAGAUAGAUAGAUAGAUAGAUAGAUAGAUAGAUAGAUGAUAGAUAGAUGAUAGUUAGAUAGAUAGAUGAUAAAUAGAUAGAUGAUAGAUAGAUAGAUAGAUAGAUAGAUAGAUAGACAGACAGACAGAAACACACACACUCCAUAAAUGAAUGGAAGAAAAUAGAUGAUAGAUAGAUACACACACAUUCUCAUGAUGAUAGAUAGAUAGAUAGAUAGAUAGAUAGAUAGAUAGAUAGACACACACACUCCAUAAAUGAAUGGAAGAAUGGAUAGAUAGAUGAUAGAUAGAUACACACACACACAUUCUCAUGAUGAUAGAUAGAUACAUAGAUAGAUAGAUAGAUAGAUAGAUAGAUAGAUAGAUAGAUAGAUAGAUAGAUAGACACACACAUACACACACCCCCUAAAUGAAUGGAAGGAUGGAUAGAUAGAUGAUAGAUAGAUACACACACACACAUUCUCAUGAUGAUAGAUAGAUACAUAGAUAGAUAGAUAGACAGACAGACAGACAGACACACACACACACACUCCAUAAAUGAAUGGAAGAAUAGAUAGAUAGAUGAUAGAUAGAUACAUACACACAUUCUCAUGAUGAUAGAUAGAUACAUAGAUAGAUACAUAGAUAGAUACAUAGAUAGAUAGACACACAUACACACACUCCCUAAAUGAAUGGAAGGAUGGAUAGAUAGAUGAUAGAUAAAUACACACACACACAGAGUCACGGGACUGUAAUAAUAGGAUGCACAAUGAUGACAGCACAUAGUUGUAGAAUGGACAGGUGAGUUCAGCAAGGUCACAAUGACAAGGUCAACAGGAAAAAACCAGUGCUCUCAGUUCAGGAUUGGGAAUUAAAAUUUAUUUAUUUAUUUAUUUAUUUAUUUAUUUAUUUACUUAGACAAGGUCUCAUGUAAGCCAGGUUGGCUUUGAAUCCACUAGACAGCCCUGGAUGACCUUGAACUUCUGAUUCUCCUGGCUCCACCUCCUAAGUGCUGAGAUGGCAGGCGUAUGCCUCCAUGGUGCUGAGGAUUGAGCCCAAGGCUUUCUUUGUUCUUGCUAGGGUGCUUUUCCAGAGGACCCCGAUUCAACCCCUAGCUCACACAUGAUGGAUCAUAACCGUGUGUUACUCCAGCCCUGGAGAAUUUGGUGCCCUCUCCUGAGUUCUUUGGACAGCAGAUACUCGUGUGGUACACACCAGCAGGUAAGACACUCAUACACACAAAGUAAAAAUAAGCUUUAAAAAGAAAAGGAUGUGGAUGAUGGUAAUGAUCUCGGUGAUGGUGAUGGAAUGAUGGCAAUAAUGAUAGGGAUGAUGAUGGGGAUGAAGAUACCAGUGAUGCUGCUAAUGAUAAUAAUGAUGGGGAUAAAGAUGAUGAUGGUUGUGAUGAUGGUGGUCAUGGUGAUGAUGAUGAUGGUGGUCAUGGUGAUGACAAUGGUGAUAAUAAAGGUGGUGAUGGUGAUAGUGAUGGUGGUAAUGGUGAUGAUAGUUAUAAUUGUGAUAAUGAUGGUAAUAAUGAUGGUGGUAAUAUGGGUGUUGGUAAUUUUGAGAAUGAUGGUGGUAAUGGUAACAAUGGUGGUACUAGUGAUAAUGGUGGUGAUGAUGGUAAUGGUGAUGAUGAUGGUGGUGAUGGUGAUGAUGGUGGUACUGGCAAUAAUGGUGUUAAUGGUGGUGGUGGUGAUGACAAUGAUGGUGAUGAUGGGACUGAUGAUGGUAGUGAUUUUGAUGAUGGUGAUACUGAUUAUAGUGACACUCAUGGUGAUGAUAGUCAUGAUGGUGUUCAGGGUGCUGAUGAACCCAAGGCCGGCUAAGCAUUCAUUUUCCCUUCCUAUGGCAAACAGAACAUUGUUUUAAAGGACUCCUGCCUCUCCAUCAUUCUUAGCCUUUCAGAAAAUACUUACAGAGGGCAGCAGACAAUGAUCUCCCUGCCACCUGUCAUGUUCAUAACAGGAAAGGACUUCUGUCUUUAGAAGCUUCGAUUCAUAAUCAUUAUGAGUCAACAAGGAGCUGGGCGUGGUGGCGCACGCCUUCAAUCCCAGCACUUGGGAGGCAGAAGCAGGCGGAUCUCUGUGAGUUCGAGGCCAGCCUGAUCCACGAAGAGAGUUCAUGGACAGCCAGAGCUACACAGAGAAAUCCUAUCUUUUAAAAAAAAUCAACUAGGAAACUAAACAAAUCACCAAGCAGUGCGUCUAUGAAAAUGGAAACCGAGCACUGUUGUUGCAAGAAAAAUAGCAUGCUUCAGAGAGAGGGGGAGGCCUGGCGCUCUCAAACAUGUCACAGGUCCCGGUGGGGCUAGCCUCCUCCUAGUUUAUUCACGUCACGGAUGCAUGCGGAGCCAGGGGGAGUGCUGGCAACUUCUUCAGACACCUCAUAGUCUCUUGGCCUGCUCAUCUUGCCAACCUGGAAGGCUGUAGCACUCACCCGGCUGUGAUCUCCUGAGCCUGUGAAUGAGGAGAAGCUAAUUCUAAACCAUGCCUGCAGGCCCAAACAUAGUGAGAACCAUAUUGAGAGAACAACAUCGAUGACCCUGCUCGCAUCCCUGGGGUGGAUCACACCGAAACCCACUAUCUCUACGCCACCAGUCAGUAAGUUUCUUUUUCAAAGUCCAUUUGGAUUUAAUUGUUUUCAAAAUUACUUACUCUACCUUUAAGGAAAAUGGCUUGAACCAACUGGUUAUAGCAGGCCCUAUACUGACACACUUUUGCUCUCGGCCCCUCCUCCACACACAGAACUACCCUGCCCACCAUGACCAUUCACACAAUCUCUCCAAACAACACUCAUCCUUCCAAACCCUGGAAGGUGUCAUCCUCUGUGCUGAGAUUUUAAGGCUAGGCACCUACACUGGACAGAGUGCCUGCCAAUGCUCUACCUCUGAUGGUUCAGCCUGUUCCCCCUCUGUGUAGAAAAGCACUGUCUGGCUAAGCUUGCCUUAUAUAGCGGUGCUCUGGGCAGCAUGUAUAAAUAUAACUACAAAUUAGACCUUUCAUGUUAAUAAUCGCCUGUUUCCAUCCCCACCAACAUCUACACACUUCACACGCCAGCGCCCAUGAGCAAACUGCUCUGCGCUUUCACUGGGCAGCCUCCCAGCCCUCUUUUGCCCAUUGUUCACUCUUCAGACACCAGACUGGGGGUCUGGCAGGAUCUGCGUCAUAUCUCAUCACUUUUCCUAUUCCGCCAUGGUUUAUGUCAAGUCUUCCUAGCUGUCCGUCUCCUUCCUAUGACCCAAGCAGUGCCCAUCUUACCUCCUCCGAUUCAGAAUGAAUCAUGACCCACCAUGCUGACUGCCAAGUGAAAGUCUUAGACCUUGGUGUGAGGACCUUGUUAGAUGGGCUAUGUCCUAAGGAUGAGACCCUUGGAAAGGACAUCUGUGUCCUCUUGAGAAGCAGCAGGAAAGAGAUGACUCCUCUCUCACGGUGGGGGGACGGGAGCAGUAAGUCAUAUGUCCACUAUGGCAAGAGACACCCAUCCCCUCCUCCAGCCCCCCAUAUCUCCCAAACCAGCCAUCAGUAACUUAACCUCAGGUUCCUGGCCUCUAGAACUGAGAGAAACGUGUCCACUGUCUGCAGGUCACAGCAGCCCAGCCUGACAAAGCCACUUCCCUGGCUCUAAAGACCCUGUGUUCUGUAUCCCUUCCCACCCUGGUUCCCACCUGAGGGACUCUGGGCUCUGGUCCUAGAGCAGCUUCCUCUGAGGGAGCUGACCCCUGCUAAGAACCCUCAUUCAGAACAGAAGAUGGCAGUGACUGACUGGCUGCCCUCAGAGCCCCCAUGGUGAGGGCGUGCAAGUGAGCAGUGUGGGUCUCCCAGAGGGCUGAGGACAGACGUAGAAGACACAGGGGGGUCUCUGAGAGCACAGAGGAAAGCAAAGGCCUCUGGGAUCGGAGUUCAGUCGGCUUGGUUCCCUAGUUUCCUCAGCAGAAUCCUCAGAAUCUGAACAAACAUUCCUCACUCUCUGCAUAGAAAACUGACAAGAAAAAGGGCUGAGAGCUGGAUAGGGAAGUCAGAACUGAAAAAAAAAAAAGUUGGCUACGUGAGAACCUUUGAAGAAAUGUCUGUUGUGUUUGAGGAUACACAGACGGGGCCGAAGCAAGCUGAACUGUAAAGACUGCAGACAGGCUGGACCAGUGUAAGGUUGACGUCAUCACUGUCCCGGAAUAGGGGAGGAGCUUCUCAGAUCCCCUUCGAUGUAAGGCUGAUGUCAUCACUGAGCUGGAUUAAGGGAAGAUGGAUACAGUAAGGAGCAUCUUUGAAAAAAUUAUGACUGCCCCGUUUACCUGUGAGAGAGAUGACCUGUAUUUGAAUCGGUAGACCCAGUUGAGAAUCACCGCCUUUCAGGGCAAGCCCGUCAGCCUAGAAAGCGAAACAAGGCAGGGAGGGGGCUUUAUUUCAUCUGUUUUUGUUUAUUGUUUUUCUGGUUUGCUUUGCUUUUUGUUUUAAGACAGGGUUUCUCUGUGCAGCCCUGGCUGUCUUGGAACCCGAUCUGUAGACCAAGCUGGCCUUGAACUCAGAGAUAUGCCUGCCUCUGCUUCCUGAGUGCUGGGACUAGAUGUGAGGCAACACGUCUGGCAAUUUCUUCUGUCACUAUCCGUUGCUUCUCUCUUUCCUUUCCUUCCCCCUCCCUCUCCCUCUGCUCUUCUCUGCUUCUUACCACCUUUCUUCUCUCCCUCCCUCUUUUCCUUGCACACCCCUCCUCUCUCCUCCAUCCCUCCAGUCAGCUACCUUCCUGUCAUCCCUACCUCCUCCCUCUCCUCCCUCUCUCUCCUUCACUUUCCCUGUCUCCUGCCCCCACCCCCACUCUCACCCCUGAGCUGAGAUUUCUCCAUCUUCUCCUGUCCUUGAACAUCAGAGCUCUUGGGUUCCUGGCUUAUGGGCAGCAAGGACGACUCAGGCUCGGUGCACAAGGAGCCUGUCCCCAUGUCAUUCUCUGGAGGAAGGGAGAUGACAGAUGACCAUAGGAGGUGGAUAACCUACUGGCUCCGUUCCUCUGCAACAAUGCUGACUAACACAGCCUUAGAUAGGACCAGGAGGCAGAAAAGGAACCAGGGACUUAGCAGAAAGCAACAGCACAAGCAGCCAUCUGGAUCUAAUUGACAUUUAUGGAGCGCCUCACCCAAAGACAUCAUGAUCCAUGUCCUUCUCAAAUUCGUAGGGAACAGCCACCAAGAUAGAGCGUUAUCUCUCACACCAUAAAAUAAAAUCGAAUCAAUAUUAAAGAAGUGAAGCCAUAUCAAAUAUGCCCUCUGGACGCUGAGCUUUGAGCCAUAAAUCUAAACAGGAAAAAUAACAGGUAAGUCCCCACUCUCCAGGCAAUUAAAACAAGUACUCUUAUGUGGCCCGUGAGCUCAGAAAGUAACCCUGGAGAGAAAUCAGAAAAAAAUAUUUUGAACUGAACGAAAUGGAAAUAUAUUAUGUCACACCCUGUGGGGAGCGACCAAAGCUGUGAGCAGAGGAAAAAAUAUAACAUUCGAUGCUUUUGUCAGAAAAGAAGAAAGCUCCUAAGUCAGUCACCUAGACUCCUGGGAGAAACUAGAAACAAAAUAACAAAUAUGCUUAUUAAGUAGGUGUAUUUCAGGCCAGAAGUGUUGUGUAAAUUAGCACCUCUAUACAACUUCCCUGUCUGGAAAUCUCCAGAGACAAAACAAUUACUCACAGAUAAAAUGCUUAUUGACAGGGGCUCGAGAGAUGACUCCGAGGUCAAGAGCACUGACAGCUUUCCCAGAGGCCCUGAGUUCAAAUCCCAGCAACCACAUGGUGGCUCACAACCAUCUAUAAUGGGAUCUGAUGCCCUCUUCCGGUGUGUCUGAAGACAGCUGCAGUGUACUUAUAUAUAAUAAAUAAAUAAAUCGGGCUGGAGAGAUGGCUCAGCGGUUAAGAGCACCCGACUGCUCUUCCAGAGGUCAUGAGUUCAAAUCCCAGCAACCACAUGGUGGCUCACAACCAUCUGUAAAGAGAUCCGAUGCCCUCUUCUGGUGUGUCUGAAGACAGCUACAGUGUACUUAUAUAUAAUAAA